UACGGGGGGGGCAAGCGUUGUCGCGAAUUACUGGGCGUAAAGGGCUCGUAGGUGGCCAAUUAAGUCAGACGUGAAAUCCCCAGGCUUAACCUGGGAACUGCGUCUGAUACUGGUUGGCUUGAAUUCGGGAGAGGGAUGCAGAAUUCCAGGUGUAGCGGUGAAAUGCGUAGAUAUCUGGAGGAAUACCGGUGGCGAAGGCGGCAUCCUGGACCGAGAUUGACACUGAGGAGCGAAAGCCAGGGGAGCAAACGGG
rnacentral:rRNA from 1 species